GAUGAAGAACGUAGCGAAAUGCGAUAAGUAGUGUGAAUUGCAGAAUUCAGUGAAUCAUCGAAUCUUUGAACGCACAUUGCGCCCCUUGGUAUUCCAUGGGGCAUGCCUGUUCGAGCGUCAUUUGUACCCUCAAGCUUUGCUUGGUGUUGGGCGUCUUGUCUUGUAUUAGACUCGCCUUAAAGUCAUUGGCAGCCAGUGUUUUUGGUAGUAAGCGCAGCACAUUUUGCGUCUUAGUCCUUGAAUCGUGGCAUCCAUGAAGCCUUUUUUCACUUUUGACCUCGGAUCAGGUAGGGAUACCCGCUGAACUUAAGCAUAUCAAUAAGCGGAAGA
rnacentral:misc_RNA from 1 species